ACCAAAAUAGUUCAGUUGGGAGAGCGUUAGACUAUAGAUCGAAGGUUCCUGGUUCGAUCCCGGGUUACGGCA
rnacentral:tRNA from 1 species